UCUUGCUUUCGUAUUAUUUUUGCUUUGUUUCCCUUAUUGCAAUCUAUCGUUUUGGGGCUGAUUUCGCCCAGAGUUUUGCUUAUUUCUCGCUGUUUUGUCUCCAAUUAGUGAUAGGUUUGCUUGCGAAUUCAAGUAUUCCCUUAGGGUCUUGCGAACUCAAGUAUUUCCUAUCAAAAAUACCACAACCAAAUGAGGGAACGUUGGUGGCAAUUGAGGUUGCUGAUGACCAGGUGGUAGCCUUGCAAUGGAAGAGCUGUUAGAGUAGCCAACACUUGCUAUGAAAUUCCCUUGCCUAAGCUCUCUUUCAGGAUACGGCUUGACCAAUCUACGAAUUUAUCAACUUUCCUUCCAGAAAUUUUCUGGGAAGUCAAUUGAAUUAAUUCAGGUAUACCGAAUACACUCAAUGUUGUAUCAAACGUUCCUUACCUUGUAGUGGGUGUUGUUGGGCUUAUACUUUGCUAUCAUGGAAAUUACUUUAGAUUGAGCUUGAAAGGCGAGCUAUGGGGUUGGUCAUUCUUUUUCGUUGGCGUGGCUGCGGUUGCUUUUGGUUCCUCCUAUUACCAUGCAAUGCCAAAUGAUGCUCGACUUGUUUGGGAUCGCUUACCUAUUUUGGACCGUUUUGUACAAACGGUAUAUGGUCACUAUGGGACUGAAGCAUUCAACAUCUUGUUCAUGCUACAAUGUUUGCAAUCAGCACAUGUUCUUGCAUAAUCACAAAGGAGUAAUGAAUAGCACUCACUUUUUUCUAAUAAUAAUGUCUAGAAUGGUACGACAUCUCUCAGAUUAAUUUAUAUUUACAAUGCAUCAGCAAAUCAUAAAUGCUCUAGCGAAAGUUGUUUUUUAGUUCAUGUUAGCUCAAGUGUUAUCUGUACAAUUGAAGAAUAAGCUUGUUCUUGGAUUCACGUUUAACAAAUAUAAUUUGAAUAAACUAAAUGCAAGAUUUUGUUUGUUUUUUAAUUGAAAAUGUUAUACAAUUAGUGUGUGAGACUUUAUAUAAAGAAUUGAGAUGUUAUUUU